rnacentral:rRNA from 1 species
UAGGGAAUCUUCCACAAUGGGCGAAAGCCUGAUGGAGCAACGCCGCGUGUGUGAUGAAGGCUUUCGGGUCGUAAAGCACUGUUGUAUGGGAAGAACAGCUAGAAUAGGAAAUGAUUUUAGUUUGACGGUACCAUACCAGAAGGGACGGCUAAAUACGUGACAG